GGGGCAUGAAGUAAAACAGAUCAAAAAGGAGGUCAGGAUUCAGGGUAGUGAGGGCUCACUUGCAAGUGGAGGACCGUGGGAGUCUCCAUGGAAGAGUGCUGCUGAGCCAGGCGUGGAAGGGGGUGUGCGAUUCAUAGGUGUAGACACCUGGGGAGAGGAUGGGGUGAAGGGCAGGCAGGACUAGCAGCAGUGGGUUUGAUACUGGGGCUUCUGGGCUCCGUGGCAUUUGGCAGGGAAGAUAUUUUGGGCCGCAGAGGUUGCGUCACGUCUCCAGUUAUACACACCAGCGCUUGCUUACUCUUCUGUUGAUGAAACCAGCUCUGCCCAAGGGCAUGUGACCCACACACGUGGCCGGGAUGGACCCAGGGAGGGAGACAGAUGCUAAUUAAGGCUUCCACGGAGCUGACUGUUCAGAAAACCCAACACAUGGGGCUGCGCUCUGAGCGUGGUUCCGCACACGUGCCUCUGUCAUCUGGCCCCGUCCCGUCCCACGCGGACCCUCUGCCUGCACCUGCACCGCCCAGCGGGGUCACAUCCGACGCGGCUCCCGCAGAACCGGAGUAAGAGCCUUUGGUCCCCAAGAGCAUGUACCCCGUGUCAGACCCGUUGUGACGCUGACUCUGAAUCUGCGCCUGCCCGGCUCCGGCACCUGUGGGUUCCCCGGUUCCUAAGUCCUGGCUCGGUCCUUAACCACGUGCCUAAUCCUGGCUCCUGAUAGGCAUCUGAUUCCCGACUGUUCAUCCUGGCUUUUCCCGUGCCCGGCCCCUACCUGUAAUUCUCAGAUUUGUUUUAUUUUUCUGGCCGGCUGCCCCCUCCCCGCCGCCGUGUCAACAGCCGUCCUGACCCAACAGGGAGAUUCCACCUCAUUGAACAGCCACGUAAACACGACGGCUGUGGAGGGGUCAACAGCCUUGUGUUACCCUCUGGCGACUGGCACAGUCCUCAUGGCCCCUUUGAUGAUGGAGCUGGUUUAUAUGUAAUAAGAAUUCAAAGGGUGUUUGAACAAAAGAGAUAUUUUGUAAUCGAAGAGCCGUAAUUGUUUUUCUUGCCAGUAGUUGAGUUAGUUCUGCUCCGAUAAAUCACAACCUAGUAGUGCUCCAGAUGUACGUCGCGGCCCGUGGUGUCCUGAAACCGGGGUCAGCCCCCCUCUCCGAGGAAGACCCGACAUGUCCCUGGGACGCGGGUUCAUCGAUGAUAAUUUCGACCACUUCCCCCUCAUUCUAAAAGUGAACAGAAGUCGGUUUUCCCAGAGAGCCUAGAUCUUUGACGUGACUCUGCCCGUGUGAAAUCCCAACUCAUCUCAAUAGGGUCUUAUCAGAGGAAGGGGAAUUUCCCAUCUAAGAUAACUGACCCAAAUCAAAACAAAACCCAGUACCCGAUUCCCAGCAAAGCUCUGGCACUUGGUCUCACAGGCCUGUCGAGAAUAUAGAAGCACCGAUAAUUUCUUGGGCAAGUGAAACUAGAUCAAUCUCCUACCGUUUGCGGGGAAUACACUGAGGCUAUGCAAAUGAAGAUAGGGCCGGUCCUCACACAGCGAUUCUUGCCCACCACUGUCCUUAGGAAC
rnacentral:lncRNA from 12 species